UACCAAAAGUUAAUGUUUUCAGAGAAUGCUUUGGUUAAAAAGCCUUUACCAACUUGGGCUGUUUGGGAUAAUAAUGUUGGCCACUUUCCACAGUGGGUUAUAACAUUAAUAUAUAUAUAAGUCACUAUUAGUUUGUAAUCUACAUU
rnacentral:snoRNA from 10 species